rnacentral:rRNA from 1 species
GAGACUCUGUGCGCGUGCAUAUCAAUAAGCGGAGGAAAAGAAACUAACAAGGAUUCCCCUAGUAACGGCGAGUGAAGCGGGAAGAGCUCAAAUUUGAAAUCUUAAAGGGUUUCCCUUUACGAAUUGUAGUUUAAAGAAGUGUUUUCUGUUGGAGUUUCGGUAAAAGUUCUUUGGAAUAGGACAUCAUAGAGGGUGAGAAUCCCGUAUUUGAUCGUUACUUUCCAGCUGUGUGAUACACUUUCAAAGAGUCGGAUUGUUUGGGAAUGCAGUCCAAGAUGGGUGGUAAAUUUCAUCUAAAGCUAAAUAUUGGCGAGAGACCGAUAGCGAACAAGUACCGUGAGGGAAAGAUGAAAAGAACUUUGAAAAGAGAGUUAAACAGUACGUGAAAUUGUCAAAAGGGAAGCGUUUGACACCAGUGUUGUUUAGUUGAAAAUCAAUUCAAUAGUUUUGAUUCUAAGUAGUAUUGACUUCAUCAGCUUGCUGCUUUCUUCUCAGGAAUUAUUGAAUGCACUUUUCAGUUAACAAGUCAACAUCAAUUUCUUUUGUUGUAAAAGGGUAAGAGGAAGGUGGCUUGCGCUUCGGCUCAAGUGUUUAUAGCCUUUUAUCUCUGCAAUCGGAGAGAUUGAGGUCUGCAGCGUAGAUCCUUCGGGGUUAGAUACAUUGGUGCUAAGCUAUAGCCUUGUAUAGACAACUUGUUGACUAUGCUCAGUCAUGUAGCUUACUCGCUGAUGCUAUUUUACCUACGCUUAGGAUGUUGACAGCAGUAUAGACUGU